rnacentral:rRNA from 1 species
UACGUAGGGGGCAAGCGUUGUCCGGAUUUAUUGGGCGUAAAGCGCUCGCAGGCGGUCCCGUGCGUCGUGCGUGAAAGGCCCCGGCUCAACCGGGGGCGGUCGUGCGAUACGGCGGGACUGGAGGCCAGUAGGGGGAUGCGGAAUUCCGGGUGUAGUGGUGGAAUGCGUAGAGAUCCGGAGGAACACCAGCGGCGAAGGCGGCGUCCUGGACUGGACCUGACGCUCAGGAGCGAAAGCGUGGGGAGCGAACAGG